rnacentral:rRNA from 1 species
AGUGGGGAAUAUUGGGCAAUGGAGGAAACUCUGACCCAGCGACGCCGCGUGCGGGAUGAAGGCCUUCGGGUUGUAAACCGCUUUCAGUAGGGAAGAAGCGAAAGUGACGGUACCUACAAAAGAAGCACCGGCUAACUAUGUGCCAGCAGCCGCGGUAAUACAUAGGGUGCAAGCGUUGUCCGGAAUUAUUGGGCGUAAAGAGCUCGUAGGUCGUUUGUUACGUCGGAUGUGAAAACCUGAGGCUCAACCUCAGGCCUGCAUUCGAUACGGGCAAACUAGAGUUUGGUAGGGGAGACUGGAAUUCCUGGUGUAGCGGUGGAAUGCGCAGAUAUCAGGAGGAACACCAAUGGCGAAGGCAGGUCUCUGGGCCAAUACUGACACUGAGGAGCGAAAGUCUGGCGAGC